rnacentral:rRNA from 1 species
AUACGGAGGAUGCGAGCGUUAUCCGGAUUUAUUGGGUUUAAAGGGAGCGUAGGUGGGAUAUUAAGUCAGCUGUGAAAGUUUGGGGCUCAACCUUAAAAUUGCAGUUGAUACUGGUUUCCUUGAGUACGGUAUAGGUGGGCGGAAUUCGUGGUGUAGCGGUGAAAUGCUUAGAUAUCACGAAGAACUCCGAUCGCGAAGGCAGCUCACCGGGCCGGAACUGACACUGAUGCUCGAAAGUGCGGGUAUCAAACAGGAUUAGACACCCUGGUAGUCCGCACAGUAAACGAUGAAUACUCGCUGUUUGCGAUACACUGUAAGCGGCCAAGCGAAAGCGUUAAGUAUUCCACCUGGGGAGUACGCCGGCAACGGUGAAACUCAAAUGAAUUGACGGGG